rnacentral:rRNA from 1 species
CCUACGGGUGGCAGCAGUGAGGAAUAUUGGUCAAUGGACGAGAGUCUGAACCAGCCAAGUAGCGUGAAGGAUGACUGCCCUAUGGGUUGUAAACUUCUUUUAUAUGGGAAUAAAACGUUCCACGUGUGGGAUUUUGUAUGUACCAUAUGAAUAAGGAUCGGCUAACUCCGUGCCAGCAGCCGCGGUAAUACGGAGGAUCCGAGCGUUAUCCGGAUUUAUUGGGUUUAAAGGGAGCGUAGGUGGAUUGUUAAGUCAGUUGUGAAAGUUUGCGGCUCAACCGUAAAAUUGCAGUUGAAACUGGCAGUCUUGAGUACAGUAGAGGUGGGCGGAAUUCGUGGUGUAGCGGUGAAAUGCUUAGAUAUCACGAAGAACUCCGAUUGCGAAGGCAGUUCACUGGACUGCAACCGACACUGAGGCUCGAAAGUGUGGGUAUCAAACAGGAUUAGAUACCCUAGUAGUC